GGAGGCAGCAGUGGGGAAUAUUGCACAAUGGGCGCAAGCCUGAUGCAGCCAUGCCGCGUGUAUGAAGAAGGCCUUCGGGUUGUAAAGUACUUUCAGCAGUGAGGAAGGUGGGUAUGUUAAUAGCAUACUCAUUUGACGUUAGCUGCAGAAGAAGCACCGGCUAACUCCGUGCCAGCAGCCGCGGUAAUACGGAGGGUGCGAGCGUUAAUCGGAAUUACUGGGCGUAAAGCGCAUGCAGGUGGUUUGUUAAGUCAGAUGUGAAAGCCCGGGGCUCAACCUCGGAAUUGCAUUUGAAACUGGCAAACUAGAGUACUGUAGAGGGGGUAGAAUUUCAGGUGUAGCGGUGAAAUGCGUAGAGAUCUGAAGGAAUACCGGUGGCGAAGGCGGCCCCCUGGACAGAUACUGACACUCAGAUGCGAAAGCGUGGGGAGCAAACAGGAUUAGAUACCCUGGUAG
rnacentral:rRNA from 1 species